rnacentral:rRNA from 1 species
UUUCGAAUCAUUCACAAUGGGCGAAAGCCUGAUGGUGCGACGCCGCGUGAGGGAUGAAGGUCUUCGGAUUGUAAACCUCUGUCACUAGGGAAGAAACGCUUUGAGUUAAUAGUUCAAAGCCUGACUUAACCUGGAGAGGAAGCAGUGGCUAACUCUGUGCCAGCAGCCGCGGUAAUACAGAGACUGCGAGCGUUAUUCGGAUUCACUGGGCGUAAAGGGUGCGCAGGCGGCCAAGUGUGUGGGGCGUGAAAGCCCGGGGCUCAACCCCGGAAUUGCACUCCAAACUACAUGGCUAGAGUACUGGAGAGGGUAACGGAAUUCACGGUGUAGCAGUGAAAUGCGUAGAUAUCGUGAGGAACACCAGAGGCGAAGGCGGUUACCUGGACAGUUACUGACGCUCAGGCACGAAAGCGUGGGGAGCAAAAGGGAUUAGAUACCCCCGUAGUCC